GGAUUUUGAAGUUCUUACUUAUCUUUAGCCUUGUCAAGAAACCUAUUCAUUGAAUUGAUCUGCGUUAACUUCCAUGAAUAAAUAUACAUUAUCUAAUAUGAAUCUGCAAAGUCCAUGUGUGAUAAAUACCUGAGCCUGCUAGUGUGUUUUAGAAGCCUUCCUUGGGACCUUUCUGACUCUGGGACCUCAUACAAUAAAGCAGGAUUUGAAGGGCAAGACAAAUUUCUUUUCCUUACUGCUGCAAUUAAGACUUGUAAAAUUGGUGUUAAAGGGUUUCCUUCUGGCCUUCUGUACCUGUAAAAUGAUUUUCCCACACAGAAAGCUAUGAUAGUGAUAGCCAUAAUAAUAGCAAUGGCUAGGCAAGCAACUCCCCAGCUGACAAAGUCUUGAACAUAAACAAUCACUGUUGCACCAAGUAGCAAUGCAAAGCACAGUCCAAAGAACCACCAGUUGAAGAAAGACAUCUUCUGCUUCCUUUCUUCCAAGUGAUCAUCAUCAAAUUGGUCAGCUCCAAAGCUUUCCAAGCAUGGCUUGUAUCCUCCUGUGCCUAAGGCGAUACAGUAAAGGGAAAGGUAGAAAAUCACUUCAUGAACCUUCCUUGGUUGUUGGCAUAUACUAGUGUUGCAAGCCUUUAUACUUGGGAUGAAUUGAGACAUCGUCAACAGGCUUAAUCCCUGCUUCACACAUCAACAAAUGUAACUACAUAAACAAAUUGGAAAGAAAAGAAAGACA
rnacentral:sRNA from 1 species